rnacentral:rRNA from 1 species
GAGGCAGCAGUGGGGAAUAUUGCACAAUGGGCGCAAGCCUGAUGCAGCCAUGCCGCGUGUGUGAAGAAGGCCUUCGGGUUGUAAAGCACUUUCAGCGGGGAGGAAGGCGAUAAGGUUAAUAACCUUGGCGAUUGACGUUACCCGCAGAAGAAGCACCGGCUAACUCCGUGCCAGCAGCCGCGGUAAUACGGAGGGUGCAAGCGUUAAUCGGAAUUACUGGGCGUAAAGCGCACGCAG